rnacentral:rRNA from 1 species
UACGGGGGGGGCAAGCGUUGUUCGGAAUUACUGGGCGUAAAGGGCUCGUAGGCGGCCAACUAAGUCGGAUGUGAAAUCCCCAGGCUCAACUUGGGAACUGCAUCCGAUACUGGAUGGCUUGAAUUCGGGAGAGGAAUGCGGAAUUCCAGGUGUAGCGGUGAAAUGCGUAGAUAUCUGGAGGAACACCGGUGGCGAAGGCGGCAUUCUGGACCAUAACUGACGCUGAGGAGCGAAAGCGUGGGGAGCGAACAGG